rnacentral:rRNA from 1 species
AUGAACGCUGGCGGCGUGCUUAACACAUGCAAGUCGAACGGAAAGGCCCAAGCUUGCUUGGGUACUCGAGUGGCGAACGGGUGAGUAACACGUGGGUGAUCUGCCCUGCACUUCGGGAUAAGCCUGGGAAACUGGGUCUAAUACCGGAUAGGACCACUUCUUGGAUGUUGUGGUGGAAAGUUUUUUCGGUGUGGGAUGAGCUCGCGGGCUAUCAGCUUGUUGGUGGGGUAAUGGGCUACCAAGGCGUCGACGGGUAGCCGGCCGGAGAGGGUGUACGGCCACAUUGGGACUGAGAUACGGCCCAGACUCCUACGGGAGGCAGCAGUGGGGAAGAUUGCACAAUGGGCGCAAGCCUGAUGCAGCGACGCCGCGUGGGGGAUGACGGCCUUCGGGUUGGAAACUCCUUUCGCUAGGGACGAAGCGUUUUGUGACGGUACCUGGAGAAGAAGCACCGGCUAACUACGUG